AGUCGAGCGGUAGAGAGAAGCUUGCUUCUCUUGAGAGCGGCGGACGGGUGAGUAAUGCCUAGGAAUCUGCCUGGUAGUGGGGGAUAACGUUCCGAAACGGACGCUAAUACCGCAUACGUCCUACGGGAGAAAGCAGGGGACCUUCGGGCCUUGCGCUAUCAGAUGAGCCUAGGUCGGAUUAGCUAGUUGGUGAGGUAAUGGCUCACCAAGGCGACGAUCCGUAACUGGUCUGAGAGGAUGAUCAGUCACACUGGAACUGAGACACGGUCCAGACUCCUACCGGAGGCAGCAGUGGGGAAUAUUGGACAAUGGGCGAAAGCCUGAUCCAACCAUGCCGCGUGUGUUAAGAAGGUCUUCGGAUUGUAAAGCACUUUAACUUGGGACGAAAGGUUGUAGAUUAAUACUCUGCAAUUUUGACGUUACCGACUGAAUAAGCACCGGCUAACUCUGUGCCACUCUCCGCGGUAAUACACAGGGUGCAAGGGUUAAUCGGAAUUACUGGGCGUAAAGCGCGCGUAAGUGGUUUGUUAAGUUGGAUGUGAAAUCCCCGGGCUCAACCUGGGAACUGCAUUCACAACUGACUGACUAGUAGUAUGGUAGAGGGUGGUGGAAUUUCCUGUGUAGCGUUGAAAUGCUUUCCAUAUAUGAAGGAACACCAGUGGCGAAGGCGAACCCCUGGACUAAUACUGACACUGAGGUGCUAAAGCGUGUUGAGUAAACACGAUUAGAUACGCUGGCAGCACCACACCGUAAACGAUAUCAACUAGUCGUUCGAACCCUUGAACUUUUAUUGGCGCACCUAACGCAUUAUGU
rnacentral:rRNA from 1 species